GGGGGGCAGCGUGGUGCUGGUGUCAGCUCCUGCCGGGGCUGCUGCCAUCCCUUGGAAGGUUAUGCUUACCAUCGUCGACAUGCAGGCCGACAUGAUCAAGUACGGACACCAGGAGAGCGUCCUGAAGACCGUCGACGAUCACUGGGUCGUCGGGCGCACCGGCAACGGACGUCAACUCUUCGUCACGCUCGUCAACACAAACUCCAACCUCGUCGAGAUCACGGAUGAGGUGCAGAGAGUUACGCAGCUUCACUUCGGUGACGUCUUCAUGCUGGAGUGAUCAGGACUGGUGUCAACUGCCCACGCAAGAGAACUUCAUACACCGGAAAAAGAUUGAUGCGUGAUGUUCAUCAAUAUUUAUACAUCUGAAUAUUGAUAGUGGUGCUUGCUACCGCAGUAUUGUGCACGUGUCUUGGUUGUCGACAUCAUCGUAGGUACUUAAAAAGGUUCUAAAUUAUACAAGUUUUUCUAAAUUUGUUGUCUCUAUCAAAUUGUCACAGUCCACUGGAUUUAUGUUGCGUAUGCAAUAUUCAGUGGCAAAUAAUGACCUAUUCUAAACAUAGCAUUUACCAAUUGAGAUUCAGUCGAGCUUAAAGAGAAUGAUUGUGCCGUGUUAUUUUCUACAUAACAUUCACCAAUAAUUACCAUGCUUCUCAACUUCGUGCAAUCGAGCAAUGAAAUGUUACGUUUGUUUGGAGUCCUUGUGCAAAUUUUUCAAAUUAUGACCAGUUGGAGAAAUUGGGUAUCUUGGAUAACAGCUGUCAUUUGUUCUUCAUGUACCGAGAAACUUGGUGUGUUGAAGCGUUACUUGAAACUUCAUUUGACAAUAAUAAAGAGAAUUAACCUUAGUUAUUUUCCCAUGUUGUUUUUAAUUAUGAAAGUUAGCUAAUUAAUAUGUAUUUUGAAUUGAGUGCUUAGAAUGGUCCUUAUUCUCGUGUUGCAAAAAACGUUGAGCCUGAAAAAAAAGAUGAAUAUGCUUUAAACAAUUAUCUCUCGUCUGAAAUUUCCUGAGCUGUGCAAUAUAGUUGUUGCCACGUGACAGAUUAUUUCCUGUAUUAGCUUCGCGUUCAUGUAGCAUUUAAUCGAGUUCAUCCUUUGCUUAUUAGCAGUUCAUGACUUGCGAGUGAGCUGGGGAUGUUAACAUGGUGAUCAAUUAUUCAUUGGGCUUGGUUUAAAUCCAUGAGACAUUACUCCCUUGUCUUUGACUACCGAAAUAUUCGUGUGCUGAAUUAUGAAGUAUUGUGCUUAAAUAGUUCGAAUAAUACUAUCUAAAUUAUGAAGUAUUGUGUUUAAAUACCGUAGUUCAAAUACCAAUACUAUCUAAAUUCAAAAGUAUUGUUCUUAAAUAAUUCAAAUAAUACUAUCUAAAUUAUAAACUAUUUUUCUUAAAUAGUUCGAAUUAUAAUAUCUACCAAAGUUAACUUGAGCGAGGCCAAGUGUUAUGUGCUAUUUACCUGUAGAAUAUAUCUUAGCUCAUGUACAUGCUUGUUAUUGACUGUGAUUUUAUGAUUGGAAUGCGCCAUGUAAAAUUUACCUAAUAGUUCGGAAACAUUCCUCUUUGUUUCUUAUUUAUUAAUCGAUCUUUAACCCGAAUGAUUUUAUGUCAAACUUUUAUGUAAUGAAGAUGGAAUAUGAGAUUCCCUCUUCGUUAACUGCUGCGAAUGUAUUUGUGGUGCCUGUGUAUUUUUCUCCAGCCUUGUAUGCAGUAAUGAAUUAAUGACAUAUUCA
rnacentral:lncRNA from 1 species